UUAAAGUUCCACCAGCUCCCAGGAGUGCCAUCACCUGGGAGCCAAGCCUUUAACACCUGGCCUCUGGGGGACACUCCAGCUCCAUCUGUGACACUCACUGCUCAUGGGAUUGUGGUGAAGGUGAAAGGAGAUCAUGUCACGGAGCUCUGGGGACACAACCCGUCAUCCUCAAAUCUCCCGGGCAACUCGGAGACUGGAGGGUGAACAGAAGCCUGGUGUUCUAGAUUCAACCUCCCUACCACAGUCCAACCCCUGGGAGCUUCAGAGAUGGCACCCUCCAGACGUUCAGGUUUUGCAUGGACUGAGCACCAGAGGAAGAGGACGCUGGUUUAGUGGAAGAGUUGAAGGUGACCUUUAUUGAGUCCUACAAGAGAUAACAAUCCCUGCAAUCAACAAGCCUGGCUCCUCUGGAUACUAAAAUAGCCACUGUGGGAAACCGUUUGUGCUGGGGGACACUGGUGGCAGCCAACACCAUCUGGCUCCUGUAAAAGGGGGUCUUCCAGGGAGAAGGGGGAUCUUGCAGGAGUUCUCCCUCCGGCUGUUGAGCUCCCCAGCUCUGCAGAGGAAGCCACUGUUUGAUGCCUGUCUGCUGACAUAUUGGUGGCCCCCGCUACUUCAAAGAAACCCCCAGUGGCCAAGGGGACCUGUCUACCGCCCAGCCACAGGGAGCUCUGGCAGAAGGGAAGAAUGUGAAAUGACAGAAUCAGCCCUGAUGUCUUCAGUCGGGCCACUCUCCUGGAAGAGCUCCAGAGACACCUCACAGUCUGACGCCAUCUCCUCCCGCUGCCCCGUCUAACCUUGACAGUCCGGGAAGCGCUCAGGGCUCCCAGCAAUGCUUCUUGCUACAUACAGUGCAAAGCCAUUUCCUUGCCCGGAAGCCCAGAAGAGCCAUUCUCCAAUUUUCCAGGCUGCACACCUCUACGUCCCUUAAACAAAUUCUCAGAAUGCUAUCCAAUAAGUUAAUGAGGAGCCUUUUAAAAAUGAGAAGAAUUUCUGUUUCUCCAUCCUAAUUUACAUUUGCCCAUUUCCUGAGGUUCUGUUCUAUUAAACUUUAAUUUGCUCCCCUCUCCUUCCAGUCCUUUCUGAAGUCUGAUGUUGGAGUUUAUUUCCGUGUGGACCAGAAUCUCUUGGGCUCUAAUAGAUGACACUUAUGGGCAGGCAGGAAGAACUUUGUCCCCCCAAAUGAUUUUCAGAGUUUCACCUGCCCAGGGCAAGCUCUUCUAAAAUAAGGGCAUGGAUUUGGAUGAUGGGUAAA